AGCCCCAUGGCGCUGUCGGGCUCCCUGAAGCCACAGCCUGCUCUGACUCCCACAGCCAAAUCGAGUCAAAGACCAAUUAAUAUUCUGAUACCUGUGGCCGCUGAAGUGAGGCGGAGCGGCUGGUUUCUUUUCCAUUUCACUCCCACUGUGGUUUCGCUUUCUUCCCAGCCCUCCUUUGAGCAAGGCCAGCCCGGCGGCUUCACGGAUACCGGCUUGAAAGGCCAGCAGCCGAGGUGGCCAGUGUCCCAGGUCCUAGAGAGCUCUUGGCAGCCUCUGGCUAUUGGUGUCUUCUGAAGCACACUGGAGUUACCAUGCCUAGGGUUCUGCAGGACUUACGUUUGAUAGGUUGGGAAACUGAGGCAAAGGGACUCUGUACCCUGAGGGCAUAAAACCAACAAGGAACAGAGCUGGUGUGCUGGCCCGGGGUGAAUUGUCGAUUGAUUUGUUAUUUAUCCCACUGACAACAAAGCGAGCGAAAAGGUAAUAAUUCCAGGCCCUGGGGUAAUUCAAUUCCUGUAGCAUCGUCAGCUACAUUAACUUACUUCCUGGAUCUCAAUUCAAUUAGAGCAACAUUCCCCAGCAUUAAUAAAUCAAUACGCAUGCCAUU
rnacentral:sRNA from 1 species